CCCAGAAGCAAAAGUGCAAAACCCCAACAGAACGGCGCCGUUUCGGCGUUGUGAGCUACAGUGUUCACUGUGCAUCUACGUUUAUAAACAGAAAAGACGGUUAAUUGUGAUAGUUACAGGCGUAGAGCUCAAAAUCUCGAAAUCCUUCUUCUCCUUCCAUAUUUUUGAGAUCUGAAACCACAAAUCAAAUCCGCGCUCUGACAAUGGUGGCUCCCAAUCUCUGAGAGAGAGAGAGAGAGAGAGAGAGAGAGAUUCGAAGGGCUCUCUCUGGUUUUGAUUUCGGAAUCGGAAUCGGAAUCAAUGGCGGUGGUGAUUGAGAGCUCCGUUUGGGAACCGAGCCCCGCGCUUUACAUCUUCAUCUUCUUCGCCUGCCUCUUCUCGAUUCUCUUCUUCCCUUACGCCUCCGGCAGCACCAACAGCACCUCCGCCGCGAAAGCUGCUCCGUCUCUGUUCGACCAUGGAGUCUCCCCCACCGCUUCGUCUUUUCGGUUCCAGAGGAACUUCCUGCUUCUCUAUUCUCUCGCCUCAGUUAUGGAAGGACUGUGGUCGGUGUUCGGUGAAGUUGAGCUAGCUUACUACGGAUUAAGCAAAGAGAAAAUGGUGCUUUAUCUCUGCGUAGGACUUGCGGCUUCGAUUUCUAUCGGUUCUUUCUUAGGAGUACUUUCUGAUUUAAUAGGUCCAAAGAAAGUUUGCUUCUUCUUUUGCUUUCUACACCUCCUUGUUGGCUUGUUGAAGAGAUUCGCCCCUCAUUCGAGUGUUUGGGUGGCGAGUAUUUGUUUGUCAAUCACAAGUUCAGUUUUUUCAUUCGGUUUCGAGACGUGGAUGGUGGUUCAACAUGAAGAGCAAGGGCACAGGCAAGAUAUGCUGAGUGAGACAUUUUGGUUAAUGAGUUUCUUCGAGUCAGCAUGUCUUAUUGGUAGCCAGGUUUUUUCAAAUUGGCUCAUCGGUAAUAAUGCAGAGAGAAGUAUGGCGUCUCAUUCCACUGCAGCUAUCUUCUUGGCAGUAAUAAGCUUAGUCUGUCUCACCAAGGGAUGGAAAGAAAUCCCACAUAAAGUAGCUCUUAAGGAGUAUAGGGCAUCUUUUCGUGCAUACAUUGUUGGCGAUAAAAGAGUAUGGCUUUUGGCAUGGGCACAAGCUUGCCUUCACUUCUCUGUUGCAGUAUUCUGGAUACUAUGGGCCCCAACAAUAGUGGCUGAUGGACGAGAAGUGCACCUAGGGUUGAUAUAUCCAUGUUUUCUUGGAUCAAGAAUGCUUGGAAGCACAGUAUUCCCAUGGCUCAUUAGUGGACUGUCAUCCCUUAGAACUGAUGAUUGCCUAGUAUAUGCAUUCAUUGUACUGGGGCUGGUAAUGUCCAUAACAGCUUAUGAUUAUCAGGAAGUUGGGAUGCUAGUGACACUAUUUUGCAUAUUUCAUGCCGGCCUUGGCGUGGUUUUGCCUUCACUUGCCAGAUUGAGAACCAUGUAUGUGCCUAAUGCACUGCGUGGAGGGAUGAUAAGCCUUUCUCAAGCCCCCGCAAAUGCAGCAAUUCUGCUUUUUCUGGUGCAAGGAAAGUACCACAAUAACAUUGGAAACUCAACGAUCAUAGCAUUUGCUGCCCUUGGGUUAUUCACAGCAGCCGGUUGCAUGCAUGUCUUGAAGCGAUGGGGGAAGCAACCAUAUCAGAACUGGCACAAAUUAUGAACUGGUACUAAAUCAUCAGCGUAUUGGCUGAGUCAGACAUCAUUAAACAAUCAUUGACUAACAGAAGAAAUCAUGUGCCUAACACUUAACUGAGGAAUUAACUGAAAGUCUUGCCCAAGGCGGAAGUCAGCUAUCGAUUCUUUGCCAGUGUGUCCAAUUCAAGUUUCCCAACCCAUCUCAGCCUCCUAAGUUUCUGUGCACAUCUGCAGGUUAGUCGGGAUAAGAGAAGGGACGUACAUGCUUACUACCAGCUGUGUAGACUACUAGUUGGAGUUCAGGGAUCAGUCGAUUAGCAGUAGGGGAGAACUGCAAGUCUCUGUCAUCCCCAUUUUGACCAUUUUUUAAAUAUAUAUAUUCUUUUUGGUUCUUUUUGAUUUGGGUUGUAAUUCUUCCACUUAUAGUGGCAUAAUGACAAGUAUAGUUUGUCAAAACCUUGUACUCAAUAGAAUGGUAAACGAAAACAAGGAGCCUUCUCUGAAAAGUAUGGUCAUGUGUAGGGAGUCUAACACCAUUAGGCUGAACCCAAUAUAUAAUUGCACUAUUUCAA